rnacentral:rRNA from 1 species
UACGUAGGCAGCGAGCGUUGUUCGGAGUUACUGGGCGUAAAGAGUGCGUAGGCGGUUUCUUAAGUCUGUCGUGAAAGCCCUGGGCUCAACCUGGGAACGGCGAUGGAUACUGGGAAGCUAGAAUGUGAGAGAGGAUGGUGGAAUUCCCGGUGUAGCGGUGAAAUGCGCAGAUAUCAGGAGGAACACCGAUGGCGAAGGCAGGUCUCUGGGCAUUAACUGACGCUGAGGAGCGAAAGCAUGGGGAGCGAACAGG